AUACGGAGGGUGCAAGCGUUAAUCGGAAUUACUGGGCGUAAAGCGUACGUAGGCGGUCCGUUAAGUUAGAUGUGAAAGCCCCGGGCUUAACCUGGGAACUGCAUUUAAAACUGGCGGACUAGAGUUGAGUAGAGGGGAGUGGAAUUUCAGGUGUAGCGGUGAAAUGCGUAGAGAUCUGAAGGAACACCAGUGGCGAAGGCGACUCCCUGGACUCGAACUGACGCUGAGGUACGAAAGCGUGGGUAGCAAACGGGAUUAGAUACCCUAGUAGUCC
rnacentral:rRNA from 1 species